rnacentral:rRNA from 1 species
AACGUAGGGAACCUGCCCAUGCGGCCGGGACAACUUCCGGAAACGGAUGCUGAUACCGGGUAAGGAAAGCGAAGGCAUCUUUGCUUUGUUAAAGGAGCUGCAAGGCUCCGCGCAUGGAUGGACCUGCGGUGCAUUAGCUGGUUGGUGAGGUAAAGGCUCACCAAGGCGACGAUGCAUAGCCGGCCUGAGAGGGCGAACGGCCACACUGGGACUGAGACACGGCCCAGACUCCUACGGGAGGCAGCAG